rnacentral:rRNA from 1 species
UACGUAGGGAGCAAGCGUUGUCCGGAAUCAUUGGGCGUAAAGCGCGCGUAGGUGGCUCCAUAAGUCCGCUGUGAAAGUCAAAGGCUCAACCUUUGAAAGCCGGUGGAUACUGUGGAGCUAGAGUCCGGAAGAGGCGAGUGGAAUUCCUGGUGUAGCGGUGGAAUGCGCAGAUAUCAGGAGGAACACCAAUAGCGAAGGCAGCUCGCUGGGACGGUACUGACACUGAGGCGCGAAAGCGUGGGGAGCAAACAGG